GGACGAUUAGCUCAGCUGGUUAGAGCACUUCGUUUACACCGAAGGGGUCGCAGGUUCGAAUCCUGCAUCGUCCA
rnacentral:tRNA from 1 species